GACCAAACUCGAGCAGCGAUUCGUCGGAGGGAGAAAUAACAUCUCGAUGUCGGGCAGAAACAUCUAGGCCUACAGAGAGGAGUCGCGCUCCGCAGGAGGAUCCCGCCCCUGUACCACAAAUGGGCGGGAUGAAUUGCCCGUGCCUGCCUUCGCAGGAAGUAAUGUUACGCGCAGCCUUUCAUGACUACAACAGGCAACAUCUAUUGGCGAUGUUGUCCUAUUUUAUGUCUAUUAUAAAAAGACACUUAACGGAGAAUGAACGAGAAAGAAGAGGUGGAAGAUGAAUGGGGUAGAGAUGUGAUUGAGAGAGAAGGAGGAAAAGAAAGAUGAAUGUGAUGAAGAAGUAAAACAUAAUGUAAUAUUGAAAUAAUAGUUAGUAUAUAGUGAAUGAUAGUAAAUAAAAAAAUUUUUUUUAAAAAA